rnacentral:tRNA from 1 species
GCCUGGGUGGCUUAGUCGGUUAAGCGUCCGACUUCGGCUCAGGUCAUGAUCUCACGGUUCGUGGGUUCGAGCCCCGCCUCGGGCU